UACGUAGGGGGCAAGCGUUGUCCGGAUUUAUUGGGCGUAAAGAGCGUGUAGGCGGCCAGGUAGGUCAGCUGUGAAAACUCGAGGCUCAACCUCGAGACGUCGGUUGAAACCGUAUGGCUAGAGUCCGGAAGAGGAGAGUGGAAUUCCCGGUGUAGCGGUGAAAUGCGCAGAUAUCGGGAAGAACACCUAUGGCGAAGGCAGCUCUCUGGGACGGUACUGACGCUGAGACGCGAAAGCGUGGGGAGCGAACAGG
rnacentral:rRNA from 1 species